rnacentral:lncRNA from 1 species
GCGAUGGACAACAAGGAUGCAUUUGAUUGUUUCAUUUCUGUGAAACCGAAAGUAAAAUAUCGACUUGAGGAGAGCAACUGAAAAACUGUUUGAUAUUCAUUGUUGAAGUAUCCAGCAGCAAAGACAGAUGAUGGGGAAAGAGAACCAACAUAGACCAUUAACCAUGAGCUAUAGAGACGCCCUUCAAACGCAAUCUAACACAGUAAGGACUUCUGCUAGACCAGCAGCCUCUACUACUGCCCAGAAUAGUUACCUGACUAGACUGAGGAGCAGCCUGCAUGACCUGAUGAACCAGCACCCAGAGGGAGUACCUCUUGGCCUCCCUCCCCGAUGUGGUGAGGCUUCAGGGGAUCGGGGUACAGACACUGGUGCUCCCAGCACUAGGCCAUUGUGGAGGUGGGACGGAUGCCGGUCGUGUUGGUUGUCGCUAGCCUUCUUGACCUAUGCCAAGCAGGGACCAGGCCGUCCGCAAAGAGACCGAUUUCAAGAUUCCAAUCAAAGUCAAGCCAACGGAAGAACCUCAAAUGUACACGGCCCAUAACGAUAUCAGGGAAAAGCAUUAGGGAAGUCUACAUACAAGACAAUGGCACAUCCUACAAGACGGGAUACACACAAUCAACACAUUCUUACCAUGAAAGUACACGCCUGUGAAUUACAGAUUGAUGAUUUUUUACAUUUUUAGACUGUGGAAAUACAAUUCAUUCAAUGAUUUUAUAUACAUAUAUAUAUACAUACACACACACAUACAUAUACACACACACACACAGAUAUAUAUAUAUACAUAUAUAUACACACACACAUACACAUAUAUAUAGUAU